AUUAUGAAUGGACUCGUGACCUACAUUUUUUCCUGGAAACGCGUACUACGUUUUUCUAGGAAUCGCGUCUGCCGCUUGUCGGCAGUUUGGGAUAGGUCAGGGAGACGAGGUGCGAGCGAGAGUUCCGAAUAAACGACGAGGAAGGAGAUAGUAAACGAUUAAAAAUUACCCUUUCCUUUACACGACGAUAUCUCGGCAACCGGAAGUCGUAUCGGGAUAAACGAAAAAGGGUUUCAAAGAGCAAGAUUCCCCGCUUCUAACGAUCUUUCAUUCGUUGACCGGAAGCCACUAUCUUCCGAGUUAUAGCGUUUCAAAGUUUUCCUAAUUUUAAUCGA